GGAGAGGUGGCCGAGUGGCCGAAGGCGCUCCCCUGCUAAGGGGUUUGUAGCUCUAUCGAGGGUUCGAAUCCCUCCUUCUCCACCA
rnacentral:tRNA from 1 species